rnacentral:rRNA from 1 species
UGAGGAAUAUUGGACAAUGGGGGCAACCCUGAUCCAGCCAUGCCGCGUGAGUGAAGAAGGCCUUAGGGUUGUAAAGCUCUUUCAAUAGUGAAGAUAAUGACGGUAGCUAUAGAAGAAGCCCCGGCUAAAUUCGUGCCAGCAGCCGCGGUAAUACGAAUGGGGCAAGCGUUGUUCGGAAUCACUGGGCUUAAAGCGUGCGUAGGCGGAUUUGCAAGUCAGGAGUGAAAUCCCGGGGCUCAACCCCGGAACUGCUCUUGAAACUGCAAGUCUAGAAUCCGAUAGAGGUCAGGAGAAUUCCUAGUGUAGAGGUGAAAUUCGCAGAUAUUAGGAGGAAUACCAGUGGCGUAGGCGCCUGACUGGGUCGGUAUUGACGCUGAGGUACGAAAGCGUGGGGAGCAAACAGGAUUAGAUACCCCCGUAGUCC